rnacentral:rRNA from 1 species
AGUAGUUUGAUCAGUGGCUCGAGGACGACGCUGGCGGCGUGCCUAACACAUGCAAGUCGAACGAAGCAUUUGGAUCUGAUCUCUUCGGAGUGACGAACCUUAUGACUUAGUGGCGGACGGGUGAGUAACACGUGAGCAACCUGCCUCUCAGAGUGGAAUAACAGUUGGAAACGGCUGCUAAUACCGCAUAACGUCAUAGUACCGCAUGAUACCUUGACCAAAGAUUUAUCGCUGAGAGAUGGGCUCGCGUCCGAUUAGGUAGAUGGUGGGGUAACGGCCUACCAUGCCGACGAUCGGUAGCCGGACUGAGAGGUUGAUCGGCCACAUUGGGACUGAGACACGGCCCAGACUCC